rnacentral:rRNA from 1 species
UACGUAGGGUGCGAGCGUUAAUCGGAAUUACUGGGCGUAAAGGGUGCGCAGGCGGUCCUGCAAGUCAGGCGUGAAAUCCCCGGGCUUAACCUGGGAAUGGCACUUGAAACUACGGGACUGGAGUAUGGCAGAGGGAGGUGGAAUUCCACGUGUAGCGGUGAAAUGCGUAGAGAUGUGGAGGAAUACCGAUGGCGAAGGCAGCCCCCUGGGCCAAUACUGACGCUCAUGCACGAAAGCGUGGGGAGCAAACAGG